rnacentral:rRNA from 1 species
AUGGGCGGCGUGGUUCCUAGCGGCGAGGCUGGCGGCGUGCUGGCCGCGCUCCUCGGCGACGAGGGGUACCCCGCCGGCCGCUUAAUCAUGAUGCUGCGCGUGACUUUCAUCGGCGCAUCCUCGCCGCCGGCCGUCGUGUUUGCGGAGGCGGCCGAGACCGGUGUCCGGUUGGGGCCCCGCGACGGUGUCGUCCCACAGCUUGUCGAGGAGGCCCAUUACCAGACUGCCACUGAGAUGGAUGGACCGAUCCCAACAGCCAACUACCAGUCUCCCCAAGUUUCCGGAUCUGAGAGAAGGGGAAGAGUGCAAGUGAGACGAGCAGGAGCUUAUUUAUAG